ACGUGGGUAACCUGCCUGUAAGACUGGGAUAACUCCGGGAAACCGGGGCUAAUACCGGAUGCUUGAUUGAACCGCAUGGUUCAAUCAUAAAAGGUGGCUUUUAGCUACCACUUGCAGAUGGACCCGCGGCGCAUUAGCUAGUUGGUGAGGUAACGGCUCACCAAGGCAACGAUGCGUAGCCGACCUGAGAGGGUGAUCGGCCACACUGGGACUGAGACACGGCCCAGACUCCUACGGGAGGCAGCAGUAGGGAAUCUUCCGCAAUGGACGAAAGUCUGACGGAGCAACGCCGCGUGAGUGAUGAAGGUUUUCGGAUCGUAAAACUCUGUUGUUAGGGAAGAACAAGUACCGUUCGAAUAGGGCGGUACCUUGACGGUACCUAACCAGAAAGCCACGGCUAACUACGUGCCAGCAGCCGCGGUAAUACGUAGGUGGCAAGCGUUGUCCGGAAUUAUUGGGCGUAAAGCGCGCGCAGGCGGUUUCUUAAGUCUGAUGUGAAAGCCCCCGGCUCAACCGGGGAGGGUCAUUGGAAACUGGGGAACUUGAGUG
rnacentral:rRNA from 1 species